CUUGCUCCGUUCAGGCGUUGCCUUUAUCGAUAACGCGUGCACUUUCGACGAAACGAGACCGCGUGGAUAUCAGCACGGACCCUACUCUAGCGACAGAUUGAACGCGACUGAACGCAGACGACGCUACGACACGACGUCACGACACAGACAAGACAUGGGUCCCGAUCGAGGGGAGGCACGAGCGGAGGGUUUAAGGUCGGAAGAUUCGUGCGGCUGGUCGAAGAGCAAACGGAGGCCGAGCGCGAUGGACCCCAACCACGAAUAGGUCGACCCGAGAGCAGCGGGUGGAAGGGAAGCGGUGGAGUGCAGAUAAAGAGCAGACGUUGAACGGAGGGAGAGUCGUAGGACAAAAACAGAUAGAGCGAUUUUUGAAUUGAGGCUCGAUGGAGAAACGAUAAGGGAAUGUUUGGGAAUAAUCCAUUUUUCUGGGUGAAGAUAAGGCCUUGAAUUAGGGGAGUUCGGAUGAUAACGAUAAUGGAAACGUUAAAGCCCAUCCUGCAAGGCGUAUGGAUGAUUCGUAACAGCGUAAUUCCCAUCGUGCAAUUAUUAUUGAGCAAAGUAAGCGGAAUGUAGUAUGGAGAACAGGAAUUUGAGAACCAUUGAAGUGAACCCUUGUUCAGUAGAAAUAGUAAUUAUUUAAAUAAACAGGAAAUCUCUUUCAUUAUUUAUUAUAAAUAAUAGAUUAACAAUACACAACCCUUUCAUGUUCUUUUUUCUACUUCAUGUAUAUGUGUAAUGCAUCAUAAUAUAUGUAUAAUAUUACAUGACCUAUAAUAUGCAAUUUAUAAGAAAUAACAGGUACAGUACAAAUCUCCAAUUAAUAAUUAUGGAAUUUUACUAUACAUACAAACAAAUUAAUACAAACCUCUUAACUGCGAUGCAUGACUUAUCGAAUUAUUAAUACAAAUUGUAAUUUAACACUAUGGAUAAAUAUUAUGGAAAGCGAUAUAUAAUUAUGUUAACGCGAUGAAUACUCUAUAGCAUUGUAAAAUAAGUAUACACGUAAUUCAACAAUCAUAACUACAAUAUGCAGUACGUGAUAAUUAUUAACAAGCAUUUCUAACCUUAAAAUAUAUAAUCUUACGAAAUUUUAUAUAAAAAUACG